AUGGACUUUAUUUUUUUAUUUUAAAAAAAUAUCCCAUGAAAUACGUAAGAAAGGAAAACAGAGAAAUUAACUUGACAAUGAAAGAACACUUAGCAGCAGCAGUAGCUGCUGUCUGGUGGAGCUGCAGGCCACAGGCUGGGUCUGAGCCACCCAGGGGAGCCAGGGGACCCACUGUUGGAGUCUCGCAGUCCCUGCCGCAGUGACAAGAGUCCAGCGGAACUGUUCUCCCACAGGCUCGGCCCCAGGGACUACAGAAGGAGCAUUCAGCCAGCCUCUCCGGAAACAGGGUCAUUCACAUUCCUGUGGCAGUGAAUGAGACGGGAAUCCGUGGCAGGGUUGCUGGCGGAAGCAGGUAGAAGUCUGGACCCACCUUCCGGGAAGACGCCGCCUCGGGUUGGGCCUCAGAGUCACCUUGCUGAGAGGGGUCUGAGGUGACUGUGGUGCUGCCCGUCUGGGUCACACAGGUGUGGGGGUCAGGACACCUGGAAGCAGUGGGCGCCUUGGGCUCCAACGGUGCAGACACGGGGAGGAGUGACGGCUGCCAUCUGCUCAGCAACUGUUCCUGCAGGGCACACAAAGGAGCGGACUUCAGGUGAUCGAGUCCAUCGAUACUGGGAAGACUAGCACACUUGAUACACAAGUGAAGAGACUCGGCAUUAGUGCUGGCAAAACUCCAGCAGACUGGGCCGGGCAGGGACCUUCUCCAGCUGACGGCUCCGUCCAGCUGGCCUGGGCCCGUGGAGAGGGUGGCACGCUGGGACCAGGAAGACACCUGCUGUGCCCUCUGCGGUCUGUGGCAGCCUCAGCCAGGGUCUUUGGGAUCCGCGCUCCUGGCCAGCACAGCAGGGAAAGGAGAAGACCCAGGGGCGCACCGCCUGGGGAGGAGGGUCGGGCCACCGAGUCCUCCUGGCCAGCGCUGUCCAGGAGAAAAGCCCAAAGGAGCUACAGGAAGAGGAGGAGAACUGGGCAGGCAGCAAGUUCAUGGGACCAGCUUCACAGUAGGAACCCUGCUUCUACGGGUGCAAGGCCACCUCCAGGGCGAGGCGUGGCGGCGGCAUUCUGCCGGGUGCCUUAGCCAGAGCAGGGACAAGGGCCAAAGGCAGGGAGGACGGUGUGCGGGCCAUAGCCGCCCAGGGAGGCAUAGGCUGAGGCCUCUGCCCCCGGGCUUCACCGCAAAGCUCAGGAAGGAUGGACAGGAGGCAGGAAUGGGAGCAAGGCUGCUCUGCGGGCCCCUGAGGGUUGAGCAGCUGCCAGUUGUCUCCCGGGCUGUGUCCUGGUGCCAGGCAGGGGCUUCACCAUCUCCUGGGAAGAGAGCAGUGAGGCUGCGGCUCACAAAGGGCCGGUGGGUCCAGCGCCCCCAUGUGUGCAGCCUGGGGGUCCCCCUGCUGUGACCUCAGGCCAUGCUGAUCCCGGGCUGCAGGUGCCCGCUGAGAAGCGGGAGGUGCUGGCAGGUGUCCACUGUGCCGACUGUGUGCCACGCGUGCCCCUCACAGCCCCUGCUGUGCCCUCCGUGUGCCACGUGAGGACUGCCUGUCUGUUCCUGCAGUACACAGGCGCCAGCACGGCCUCUGCCCGGGCCUGAGCUCUCCCCGCCCGCCUUCCUAGGGGCAGGAGGAGGAGAGAGGACAUCGGGCGACGUCCUGACGCCUGGCCCUUUCACCUGCUGCUUCACAGGCCGGGGGCACUGGCCCUGCUGACUCCGCCUCCAUAGUGCAGCCUUCCCCUCCGCAUCUUCCCCUCAGCCCCCUGCCCUCUGCCCUUGCUCAGGGUGUCUCCUUGUAUUGAGACCACUGCGGCAGGGGCUGAGCGCCUGGCACGGUACUGUGACCCGCUGCAGCCGGAAGUGCCCGGCUGUGGCUCCGCCCCUUCACUUCCGGGCAGCCCAGCCACCCGGCCUGCGCCCGGCGUCUCCUCCCCGCCCGCCCGCGCUGGACGCCUGGCUGCCCUCAGGUCUCAGCUGCGGUGGACAGGGAGUGCGGGGACCCUGAGGUCCAUCUUCUUCUUUUUGUUGUUGACGCGGUCUUGCUAUGUAGCCCAGGCUGGCCUCCAACUCGUGGUGAUUCUCCCGCCUCAGCCUCUUGCGUGCUGGUGUCAUGGGCGUGCGCCACUGUGGCUGGCUGAUUAGGCGGACGUUCUCAGGUUUCUCUGCUCGCCACUGACCAGGCCGGAGGCCACCUAUCUGAGCAAAAAGGACAAAGGGCUUACUCAAGGCUGGCCCCGAGGACACGGAGGGCCCACUUGCCUCAGGUCCCCCGCAGAGGCGGGAAAGGCCGUCCGUGGAACCAGGGGCGGGGAGGCCGAGCCAGGAGCCUGCGUGGAGCAGCCGCGUCCUUCUCCCCGCGAGGGCCGAAUCUUUGCCCGGGGCCCGCGCUCUCCCGGGGCCUCUGCUGCCCGGUUCUCGGGUUUCUGGGCAAAGGGAGAGGAAAUGGUAGAAAUGACAGCCGCGAAGCCGCACGUGACCACGACGCUGCUCGGUCCUGCGACCCAGCCAUCGCCGGCCGCCGUGCAGGUCUAUGCCUCGCCGCUUGUUCCACAGCUUCUGUUUCCGUGUGUGUGUGUUGCGCGCAUGCGCGGCACUCGGCAUCGAACCCAUGGCCUUUGCCCUCAGCUGCAGCCUCAGCCUUGUUUUAUCUCCUCUUCCUAAGUCACUACAUCGCCUUGUGACCCUCCUGCCUCAGCCUCCCAGAGGGCCGGGAUGACAGGCUUCAGAACGGCAAAAGGAAAUGGACCUGCAUGGAUCAAAUGCUCCCUGCGUUCUGCUCCUGCCGAGAGGCCAGCAAAGCCCAAGGACCGACGGGGCCACGGUCCCCUCAGUUUGAAUUACAGUGGAGCCGGUGCUGGGUGUGUGGUGGGUAAACGGUGCCACGUGCAGCCCGAACCCUCGCUGACUUGGAAUCGGGCUGCACAAACUCCCUGUGCGGUGGUGGGGAAAGUGCUGGUGCUGAAGAAAAGUGAAUGAAAUGUGCGGAAAUCGCCAGCAUGGGAGGGAGAGCUCUGCGAGUGUCCCGGGUGGGGGUGCGCCCGGGCCAGGCAGACCCUGGAGUCCCGCAGGGUGGGGCUCUGCACCCAGGAAGUGUGUGGCGAUCGGGAAGGCUUGUCCCUCGGCCUGCUGUCUGCCUGUCUGCAGGCAGAGCUGGAGUAACAAUCCCUGUGACUUCCCACCUGGGCUCGCUUUAGGCCACACGGAGCCGAGCCGCUUUGCUGGGGCAGGGAGACUGGGCUUCCCGGGGUCCCUGCAUGCUGCACCAGCCGGGGUAGGGGAAUCUCACCAGCUGGGUAUAGGGGUGGCUGUGGGUACCCGGCCCAUGGGCAGCACAUGCCCUGGGCGUGGCGGGCAGCCCCUCAAGAACCAGCAGAGGAUUGGUGUGGGGCUCAGAAGGCGCCGAAUUCUCCAGCAGCCCUGGGGGCCUCCUGACCCCACCCACAGACACCACCACUGAGGCUCCACGGCCUCGUCUGUGUCAACUGCCCAGCCCCGGUGGGCGGUCCCUGGGCAGCGUCCGCAACUCCAGGCAUGGGAAGCCAGCCCAGCCACACGGACCAUGCUGUCCCCACCUCCUGGGGCCAGGCUGCUGGCCAAGGGCGAGGCCAGGGUCAUUCUCAGCCACCCUCGAGAGGACUUGAGCCUGGACACACCUGGAUGCAUCUCUCUCCCAGGCUGCACAGGCAGGGAUAGGACAGGCCUGGCCUCCACUGGGUCCCCAGCCUCUCCUGCCCUGUGCUGGGACCAGGAAUGUAGGAACCAGCCUACAAACUUGAACCUGACCAAGGGGUGACGAAGAUGAAAAAUAAAGAGACACAAAACAGGGUAAAACCUGGGGGAGGCCAGGGGCUCAUGUCUCCCUUUGACACAGAGCCCCAAGUGACUGGCGCACCUCGGCUUAACUCACUCAGACACGGGCUGGAGCAAUCAGAGUCCACAGGACCCAUCUGCCUCCCUCCCCCACGGUACUUCUCCCGGUGAGCAAUAGGACCUCAGGUGUUUUUGCUUCUACCUGCAGAAGUCUGCUUUCCCGCCCUCUUUCUCCCCAGUGCUCAGGAGGAGACCACUUAGGCUUCACUCUUCCCAUCUGGUCUUCCAUACAGGAAGGCAAGGUCGAGCCCCACCUGGACGGCAGGAAGCCACACCGGGCAGCUGAGCCUCCUGGGGGAACUCUCUUCGCUCACUCCACGGGACAGCGUCACCAAUCCCCAGAGCUGCUGUCCCCAGGGUCCUUCUCAGGGAGAGGGGCUCUUGGGAAACAGAGUUGCAAGCCCCUUCCCAUUCAUCAGGGCCACCUGAUACAAAGUAUCCUUUGCUCCUCUGGUGUGAUCAAAACAUGCAACUCCUAGUGAGGCUGGGUAAGGACCCAGGGUUCACAUUUAGCAGGUGUCCUGGGUGUCUAGAUUCUACCACCACAGAGAAUAAGACAGGAAAAACUUCCUCAGCCCAUCGUGGUGGUGCACACCUAUAAUCCCCGCACUGUGGGAGGCUGAGUCAGGAGAAUCACAAAUCCAAGCCAAGCCUAGACAAUUUAGUGACAGGUAGAUUCUGUUUUAGUCACUUUCCUUGUCACUAGGACACAGUGCAUGACACCAUCAAAUUAAAGCAGGACAGGUUUAUUUUGGCUCAUGUUUUGUGGAGGUCUCAGUCCACAGCUGGUGGCUCCAAGGCAGAAGUGGCACGUGGGAAGGGCCUGGGUGGAGGAGCUGCUCCCCUGCAGGAAGCAGACUGAAAGAAGCAAUGGAGGUGAGCUUGUGGACCCGGGCUCGGGUGUUUCCUUCCCAUUAUGGGUAGAAACUCGAGUCAGGGGCAGAGGGAGCGUUGCAUGACUUGGCCUCGCAUCUGGUGUGUGGGCACCGCACACAGCACGGCCGAGGGGGCCACCAGCUGUCCUUCCUCUGGUGUCCUCGGACCUCCCCGUCUUCCUGUGUGGUGGCUGCGCGGCACUGGGAGAGGAGAGGCCUUUGCGUGCCGCCCUCCGGGAGCUCCGACCCUCUGCUCCUCAGAGGCCGAGUCUCUGUGGGGUCUGGGGAGCAAACCACGGCCCUUCCACCAGUGGAAGGCAGGAGGGGUGCGGACAGCUUCCCCUCCGCUGCGCUGCACAGCUCCUGGCCCCUGCAGACUUCAGACGUGACACCACUCUCACUGGGCCCCAGUUGGCUGCUCCCCACACAAUUUGAAUUUCUAGACUGGCCCUGCUGGAGCCAGCGCCCCAAGACGCCUGAGCGCUUCGCUGCGGGACUCCUUGACACGUGGGCCCCUCCCGCCCCGUGAUGGGUGGAGAAAUCAGGUGCUUUACUGCCACCCCUGCCUCCACUUGGGAAGGACAGGCUGCCACCAGGGUCUGCCAGCCCAACACGGGGAUCCACGGGGCCCCAGGACUGUCAGGACUCAUCGACCCAGCUGUCACCCACAGGAGCCCCCAGAGUCUGUGCUGCACUCACCGGCAAAGCACUCAGGUAACUCGGGAAGCCAGGUAUCCCCAAGAGGCUGCUGCUACCCCACACGAGAGCUCACACAAGUGAGGCGGAAGGAGGGCUGAGAUCUCAGUCCCACCUCUCUCUCCGUGUGACCGAGUCAGGGGGACAGCAAAGCCCCUGCAGAGAAAAGACAGUUUGAGUGGACCGGAGGCCAAUUCUUAGUCACACCUGCCGAGCUGUUGAUACACAAAUAACUUACCACAUGAGUGAGUGGAGUGGAAGCGGAGUGUGCAGCGACUCAGGGUGCCACUGCACUCCAGCAAGCAGGGGCGCGGUCCUCUGCAGUGGGCUCGAGUCCUGCACCGAGCUCUCCAUGGAGACCAAAAUGCUGGGGAACCGGGCCAUAACAAGCAUGGCUCAUUUUUGAAGCAGAAAAGCAGGCAUCUCCGCUGGGCUAAGAUGUUACUUGGGUGAGGAGUGAUGGAGAGGAAAAUCCCCUUAUUAGAAAAUAGCAAAAUCAACAGAAAUGAAAUCUUGUAAAAUAAAGGCUGCCCUGGACUCAGGGCUCCCAAGCUGUGAACCUGCUUGGCAUUGUUUGGGAUUGAAAAGUUCAGUUAAUUAGGGGCUGAUGCAGAUAUGGGUGCAUGCGCUGCACCCCAGAGCAGGUGGCACCCAGACCCUGCAAGGACCCAUGAAGGGUUCCAUGCACACGCUAAGUGCACCCUAGGGACAUGGGUGGGGACACGUGCAUGCGUGUCUUCGGCAGCCUCUGCGUGGUGGCCACAUGGCAGAGGGAGCCUACAGAUCUGCACAUGCACAGGGGCUGCACCGUGUGCAUGGGAUGAGGGAUAGCAGCUCAGGAUGUGGUACGGCGACCUCCCCUUCCACACUGUGGCCUGAGGGAGAGAGAGGGGCAGAGGUCAGCAUGUUUUCAGGUUCCUUUUGCACAGAGCAACCGGAACAGCACAUAGCUGAGGCGAGAGGUAGAUGGUGCAUUGCCUGGGGAAGCGAGGGUGGCCGGACUGGGGUGUCCCCUUGGGUGGUGACAAUGUCCUGAAACACAAAGGGGCUGUGGCCACACCUUGUUUGUGCAGUAAAUGUCACAGAAUUGCUUACUUUAAGAUGGUGGAUUUUGUGUCAUGUGAAUUUCGCUUCAGUUAAAAGAAGAAAACCCCUUCCAGGUCCUGAUGCCACCCAAGGGCCCUGCCCAGUUCUGGCCUCUCCUCUGUCCCUCUCCCAGACAAUGAGUUCAGCUGAGUUUUGUUUUGCAGGAAAGUACUUGGUGACCCUGUGUGCACCUCAUUUUUCUGUAAUGUUUAGACACUUUGAUUUUCCUAGUGAGUCCAACAAGGGUUUGAAAUCUGAACUUGACCACUGCAGCCUCUGCUGGCCAGGGCUGGGGCAGAGGGGGUCAGCACAGUGUGGUUCCCAGAAGUGGCAGAAGCUCUCCAAGCGAAUCUUUGCACUGACUGAGGGCCCUCGGUAUCAGUCAGUGCUCACGAGAGAAACAGAGCUAAUAUAAGAUAGCUGCACAUGCAGUCAAGCCUUGGACUUCAAGUAACUUGUUAUGUGUGUGUUCUGUAAGACAGCAAAGAUUCCUAAUAAAUUUCAACUGGAUAAAUGAAUGAAGUUGUGUAACAGGAGUACAGUGGUGCAUGCUGCUGGGUGUCGGGACCACAACGGAGGCAAUGGCUCUCCUCUCUCACUGUGGGUUUGUGGGUCAUCAUCUCCCAACAGCAAGAGGUUGUGGAGGAGAUCUUGUCUGCAAAGGAGGAGGAGAAAAUGGCAGAGGAAUUCCUUGCUUCAAAUGAGAUUAGGGAGAAGUGUAAAAUGUGGGAAAGUGCAGAAUUGUGUAGGAAAGCAGCACCCGAAUAAGGCCGUAGCAGUGCGAGUGAUGGAUCUUUAAUGACAAUGCAACGUCACAUUUCUGUGAAACCCACAAAAGGAGGCAAAAGCAAGUGCCAUUGGACAGGCUCCUUGUUAAAGCUGCAUGAAAAGAAGACGAUUCCAUGGAGCCGACAGACAGCAGUGAGUCCAUCGGUGGUAGUGACAGUCGUCAUGCACAGUGACCCUCCUCUCCCUUGAUUCCCUCACUCCAGCCACGGAGGUUUCCAAAGGUUGUGGAAUGAAUCAUCUGAGUUUCCAUUAUUUCCUAUGGAGAAAUUUGCUUUGAUAUAGAAGUGCUUUGAAUUACAAGUAUGUUUCUAGAAUGAAUUAUGCUCACAAGCCAAGGUUUUACUGUAGAAGGAUUUACAAGGUGGCUUACAGUGGCCGCUGCAGAGUCCCUUGUGGAAGAGCGCAGGAGGGCAUCUGCCUCCUGGAGGUCCGAACCAUCCAGUUAGAGCUCGAGAGCCUGGGGCUCACUAGUGUCCCGUGCAAGUCCGAACAGGAAGCUGAAGAACCUGGGCUGGAAACCAGGGACGAUGUCCUAGUGCAGGUGAAGGCUGGAGCUCCUCUGACGAACAGAAGGAGCCCUCCUUCACCCUCGUUGUCCUGUCUGGGCUGCAGGCGUAUGCAUCGGUGCCGCCCCAACCCAGGGUGGGGCCCCUGUUCUUCACACCUGACGAUGCUAAGCCAGUCAGUGGACUAAUUUAGCUACCACACAGCCUAGAUCCAGCCACCUUCCCUAAGCCCCACCUUUGAGCACACGAGGCUUUGAGGGACACCUAGACUCCAGCCACAGCACCCUCGUACCUAAUGUCACUCACCUCUUGUGCAGAAGGACCUCCACUGUGGAGUACAUCGUCACCGAGGCACCUGCACUGUGGACCUUGGCCUUGGGCAGGUGACAUCCAGGCUUCCACCCCCUUGUCUGUGAAACAGGGCUUGUCAGUCCCACGCAGCAAUGUCUGGCAGAGGACAGAGAUCGGGGGUGGUGGUGGACACGGCGGUGUUUUUGUGACCAUCCCGCCUCCCAAGGACAAGCCCAUCAGACUCGACUGUGGGGCUCCAGGCUCUUCUCACGUCGUCAUGGUUAAGUGUCACUUGUGGAUGGGCUGUGAUGGGCCCACACUCCCACUGGAGCCUCUCCCCACUGCCGCACCGAGCCAGUGGGGAGACAGAAGCAGCCCCAUGAGGUGCUGUCUGCAGGCUGGGAGCCAGCCGCUCUGUCAGCAAAAUGGGCCCAGCUCAGGAUGGGGAUGGGGACGUCCCCAGCCGGGACUCCUCCCUGGGCCACUGGGCCACUGGGCCACUGGGCUGUGCUGUGUGCACUGGCAAUGCCCUCCUGCUCUGCCACGCUGUGUCCAGAGCGUGAGUCCGCAUGGGUGUUCCAGAGCUGUGAUGUCAGCCUCCAGGCCUCAGCAUCCCCAAUGAAGCCAGAGAAGCCCCCUGAGGUGCCACUAACAAAGACACUGAGCGCAGUGUAGCAAGGGGGCGGGUGUGUGCUUCAGCUGGACACCGAGCACCCAUGCAUCUGUGCCCUCCGCCUCCUCAAGCCAUCUGCCAGGUGAUGAUGAACAGAAAGCUGCGUCCGUCUACACGGGUCCCGGAAGCCCAGGGCCCACACGGUGACAGACUUCAGCAGAAGAAAUCCUCCUAAGUCCCCAAACAAGGUCUAGGACGGCUAAAUGCGGUUAUGGAGACAAGGCAGGGCAUGGCAGACCAGAGGCUCGGCACUCCAAGUGGUCAAGGCCGGGAGGCAUAGAUGGCAGCUCACAAGACUGAGGCGAGGAGCUGAAGAGAAGGAGCAAAGUCCAGAUGCAAAGCUUAAGGUGCCCGGGAGAAACCAGAGCAUGGCAGAGGCUCACAGCAGGAGCAAGAAGAUGCAAACAAGAGUUACUUGGAGAUGAAGACCAGAGAGAAGGGAAGCAGACUGAUGCACAGCACUUGUACUGAGAGUGGGACUGUUGCUGCGGCUGGGCCCGACCAUGUGGCUCAGAAGCGGCUGGAAGGGCCCACGGGGAGUUUGGGAAGGUGGGGGUGCAGCCAGAGAAGCCCUGGAACUCUGCAGGGUGAUUCUGGUCAGAGCUCAGAGAACAGAAUGCUGAUGGGUAGGAAGGACAGUGCUCCUGAGGUUUCGGAUGCGAAGGAGGACUCUACUGGGAGUUGACUAGAGGCCACGUGUGUUCCAUAUGGGCAGAGAACUUGCCUACAAUUGGCUGGGUCCUGAGACCCCCUGGAAGGCUGAGUUUACAGCGUUUGACACUGGCAUCAUUCGGGCGGCCUCAGGCUAUGUG
rnacentral:lncRNA from 1 species